UUUUAUGGAUGAACAAAGAAAGUGGUUUCUUGAGAUAGAACCUAUUCCUGGUAGAGAUGCUGUGAA
rnacentral:pre_miRNA from 2 species